AUGGAGGAAGAGCCUACAGAGGCACCACUUUACAUCCAUAUCGAGACUAAUGAUUUUUCAUACAGAAGGCACAAGCGGCAGAAGGAGGAGGACAUAGCUGUAUGCGAGUGUCAGUAUGAUUUGAUGGAUCCAGAUAGCGCAUGUGGAGAGAGGUGCUGGAAUGUCUCGACUAACACAGAGUGCACGCCUGGCUAUUGCCGCUGUGGUGUAUAUUGCAAGAACCAGCGAUUUCAAAAAAGUCAAUAUGCUAGGACAAGGCUGGUAAAAACUGAAGGGCGCGGGUGGGGUCUUUUGGCUGAUGAAAAUAUUACAGCUGGACAAUUUGUUAUUGAAUAUUGUGGAGAAGUAAUAUCAUGGAAGGAAGCCAAGCGGAGAUCUCAAACAUAUGAAGACCAGGGUUUAACGGAGUCUUAUAUUAUUUACCUCAAUGCUGAUGAGUCUAUUGAUGCAACAAAGAAAGGGAGUCUGGCCAGAUUUAUCAACCAUUCGUGCCAGCCGAACUGUGAGACAAGAAAAUGGACUGUCCUCGGGGAAGUAAGAGUUGGCAUUUUUGCAAAGCAAGAUAUUCCUAUUGGAACGGAAUUAUCCUAUGACUAUAAUUUUGAGUGGUUUGGUGGUGUGAUGGUGCGGUGCCUCUGUGGAGCUACCGGAUGUUCAGGGUUUCUUGGGGCAAAAUCACGUGGUUUCCAGGAGGCCACAUACCUGUGGGAAGAUGAUGACGACAGAUUUUCUGUUGAAAAUAUCCCUCUUUAUGACUCUACCGAUGACGAACAUACAAGCAUUCCGAAGGACUCCAUUCUAGCAAAAUUUGAGCCAGUCACCCAAGAAAAUAACAGCAACAUAGUGCAUACCACUGAGAAUUCUGAGAUUGCAAGCUCAAACGAAUUCACGCCAUUGAGUGUUGAACCAUUGACGGCUAGCUCAGAUGAACUCACACCAAUGACUAUUGAACCACUGAUAGCUGUUCCAGUGGGAGUUGAUAUUAUGGAGAAUGGAUUGACCGAAUAUGGUGCACAAUAUUCUGAUGACGCCGCACAAAAUUCAAUGCAUAAAGUUGCAAAGCUUGAGAAUCAAAGUUCUCCCCAGAACAACAACCAUCAUACCGAAUUGGUCCUGGUGAGACCCACACCCAAAUUUCGUGGUGGCAAAGCUAAACGUGGUCUGCGCAAGCAAUUGAAUGUUGCAGAUAUUUGUGACCGGUUACCAUCAGCUGCGGCACGCCAGGAGAUAUUGUUCUGUGAGGAAGUGAAGAAGCAGGCGACUGCCGAAAUCGACGCCCUGUACGACGAGAUAAGACCAGCGAUUGAAGAACAUGAGAGGGACAGCCAAGACAAUGUAUCAACAAGCCUUGCAGAGCAGUGGAUCGAGGCCAGCUGCUGCAAGUACAAAGCUGAGUUUGAUCUAUCUGCUGCAAUUAUCAAGAACUUGGCUUCGACGCCUCUGAGAGCAAAAGAAGAUGUGAACCCUAGAGAACAAAAUGGAGUGUUAUACCUGCAAAACGGUCCAUGA
rnacentral:rRNA from 1 species